GGGGGGGGGGGGGGGGGGGGGGGGGGGGUGCGGGUCGGGCGGGGGGGCCGUGCGUGUGUGGGGUGCUCGAGUGGCGAAGGGGUGAGUAGCGCGUGAGUACCCUGCCCUUGGCUUUGGGAUAACUUCAGGAAACUGGGGCUAAUACCGGAUAGGAGCUCCUGCUGCAUGGUGGGGGUUGGAAAGUUUCGGCGGUUGGGGCUGGACUCGCGGCUGAUCAGCUUGUUGGUGGGGUAGUGGCUUACCAAGGCUUUGACGGGUAGCCGGCCUGAGAGGGUGACCGGCCACAUUGGGACUGAGAUACGGCCCAGACUCCUACGGGAGGCAGCAGUGGGGAAUAUUGCACAAUGGGCGGAAGCCUGAUGCAGCAACGCCGCGUGCGGGAUGACGGCCUUCGGGUUGUAAACCGCUUUCGCCUGUGACGAAGCGUGAGUGACGGUAAUGAGUAAAGAAGCACCGGCUAACUACGUG
rnacentral:rRNA from 1 species